GCGGCAGGGAAUUUAUAUUGGUGUCACCCACUGUCUCGGCAGCAGGGACUGCAACCAGGCUAUUGAGUUAACAGCGCGCACAGAGGUGGCGAAUCAAACAGUCAGGAAAGAGGUAGUCCGAGCGAAAAGAACGCCAAACCGACUAGUCUGCUAAAGAGUGCAUGGUUUGGGCUGGGAAAAUCCGGUCCGGAAGAUCUCACAUAUCCUCUUAAGAGAGCUCUUUUAGGUAGGUGGUUAGGCUUCCAGUGGUUUUAAAA